rnacentral:rRNA from 1 species
UGGUGUGAAUUGCAAAAUCCCGCGAACCAUCGAGUUUUUGAACGCAAGUUGCGCCCAAGGCCACCCGGCCGAGGGCACGCCUGCCUGGGCGUAACGCCUCGCGUCGCUCCGCCUACCUUGCCUGAGCACCUCGUGCUUUUACGGCGGCGGGCGGUGGAUGC